UACAGAGGUGCCAAGCGUUAGGCGGAAUCACUGGGCUUAAAGCGUGUGUAGGCGGAUGUCUAAGUACCUUGUGAAAUCCCACGGCUCAACCGUGGAACUGCUUGGUAUACUGGAUGUCUUGAGCCAUCUAGGGGCUACCGGAACAAAUGGUGGAGCGGUGAAAUGCGUAGAUAUCAUUUGGAACGCCAAUGGUGAAAACAGGUAGCUGGGGAUGUGCUGACGCUGAGACACGAAAGCCAGGGGAGCAAACGGG
rnacentral:rRNA from 1 species